GUGGUUAAACUUAAUGCUUGGAAGAAAGGUCUCAAUGUGUCUAGAAGAGAGGUACUGAGAGGAAGACUCACUUUGGAGGCUGGAGCCUACAAUUUUCAAGGAUUGCCUCAGGUGAAAAUAUACUUCCUGGACUUUGUUUCCUGACAUAUAUCAGGUGUGUUCUGCUCCCUAUAAAGACAAGAGGAGGCGGGUAUCCAGAUGGUCCCACGAGUAGGGCUACACAAGAUGCUGGAGGCUUGGUCCACCUCCCAGUAGUGGCGGCCAGAGGUGAAACCAGGGGAGCCCAGGACAGCACCUGCGAAGUUGAAUCUCUCAGCACUGUUUGGCCGAUUCUGAUGGAUCCUCCCACAUCGGACGCUCCUGAGGUCUUCAGAAAUGAGGAGGAGGUUGUGAGCCAUGUCAACAUCCAAGGUCACCUCCACUGCGAAAACAAAAACAAGUAGCUCAGCAAAUGCACAGAAGCCAAGCCCAUUUCACUCCUCUACUGCAAAGUCCCAAAUAUCUCAUUGACUUUGGUUUCUGUCAAUCUGCUUUUUUUCCUGAAGUCAGAGCUUUUCUCGAGGCAACUUCUCUGAAUAGUUGAAAUUCUCAGAUAUACUUGUUGUAAUAUGUGGC
rnacentral:lncRNA from 1 species